rnacentral:lncRNA from 1 species
CUGCAAUAGUUCGGGCUCUUGCAUUGGAGGAUUACUGUAAAUUGCAGCCUGACAAUUACAAUACGCAGGGCACCGGCGAGUUAUUAAUGGGCUCGCCUACUGAUGGCCUUUCAGCGCAGCCUCGGACCUGCUGAGACUCAGCCUAAUUAGAUCCAGGGGUAGCGGCCCCUGUGGAUGAGGCUCCUAUUUACCCUUCAAAGACUCCGGCCCCCUCCUCCAGGAGACUUUCCAGUGCCUCUGCCCUGGCAUUCUGCCUCCAGAGCCUGCACGCCCACCCACUCCGCUGCAGGGGACGGGGAAGCAUCUGAACAUCCGACCGACCGGCCAGAACCCAGUUUGCACCCCAAGGAAGGGGUGUCACAAGGAGCGAAGGCAGUGCUGGGUUCUGGGGAAGAGCUCGGACCCGGGACGUCUGUUGGGUGCCAGUGCUGGAUGGUCGAAGGGCUAGGAAUGCUGGCCCAGAAGGAUUCCUGA